rnacentral:tRNA from 1 species
GGCCUCGUAGCUCAGCUGGUAGAGCGUGCGUUGUGAAAACGCGUAGGCGACGUCCAUGCGUGCGUUCGAAUCCCACCGAGGCUA